AGUGAACGCUGGCGGCGUGCCUAAUACAUGCAAGUCGAACGGAGUGGCGCACGGGUGAGUAAUAUAUAGUUAAUCUGCCCUAUACAGAGGAGCAACAGUUGGAAACGACUGCUAAUACCUCAUAGUGUCGGAUGAGACUAUAUCGUAUCAGCUAGUUGGUAAGGUAAUGGCUUUCCAAGGGUAUGACGCGUAACUGGUCUGAGAGGAUGAUCAGUCACAUUGGAAGAGAGGCACGAUCCUAACACGUACGGGAGGCAGCAGUAAGGAAUAUUGCUCAAUGGGGGAAACCCGGACGGAGCAACGCAGCGUGGAGGAUGACACUUUUCGGAGCGUAAACUCCUUUUAGCAGGAAAGCGGUACCUGAUGAAUAAGCACCGGCUAACUCCGUGCCAGCAGCCGCGGUAAUUC
rnacentral:rRNA from 1 species